CAAUUUUCAAUUCACCAAACAAGAACAAGAGGGUACUAGUGGCUGAGGGUUUAUUGUGUAGCCGAGAUUACCACUUGUUCAUCACCAAAGUUUGAAGGAAGUAUCGGAUUUAUUUAUGUUGAUUUCGCACUCGAUUCGAUGGUUCUAAACGAUUUAGUCUUACACGAGCUGUCAUGAAUCUUGAUGGAACUGGUACUCUGCCUUCAAAUUUGGCCGUAUCUGGGAACAGAAAUAACAGUUGCAGAAAUUUGGGAUUUUUAGAAGAGUGAAGUUGGGUGGACGCUUUUGGGAUUUGGUGGUCUUCUUGGUUAUAGUGGUUUUCCACAUCGUAGUUAUUUUAUUAUUUACCCGAUCUAAUCUCCUUCUCAAUCGGACCAAACUUUCCCAAUAUAGUCGAUGAUCUGAUGUUUUCGAGUCUCCUUGUUUCCUACUUAUGAUCACAAUGUUAACAACAACAGUGGAGCACCAGGUUACAUGACGAAACCUACAGUCAAUGGGCUUGUUAUAAUUGUUCUUGAUAUUCGUAGGUAUUCUUUAUAUUGCUUUCUGGAGAAGUCAAUUUAGCCUGAUUAAUCACUUAAAUCAAAAAUCUUUUACUAUAAAAAAUAUCCAUACCACAUUUUAAAAAUCCUGAUUUAUAGGUUUGACUUUGUUGCUCCAAGUACCUUCUUUGUAGGCAAGGACUUUGACUUCAUUGUCAAUCAGUUUGCUUUUGCAUUUUCACCAUGUCCCGUGAUAUGCAUUUUCCUACAUAACUGUGUUUUUUGAAUGUUCUAUAUUCGACUAGCUUUGUCAAACCAUUUACCAUUUAUUCCAUUUUUAUCGAUUAUAAUUUCCAGAAGUGAAACCAUGGAUGGAUAAGCUACAAGUAGUACACGAACUUUAUGCAGUUUACAUUGUCUAAAUGUGAUCUUAUGUUUUAUCUUUUUUAUUUUUGAAAUGUUAUUAAGGGACAUGAGGGUCUUUCUUGAGUUGGUUGUCAUUCUAUUCACUCAUUAGACUACACAAAGUUGCGUUGCUGCCCGUGUUUUAUGGUUCAGUUUUUGUACACUUAAUUGGAUAUUAGAUAUUUGAGGAAUUUUAAAUUAAACUUCGUACAAUGUGCAAACUGCAAAAUAGCCUUACAUUUUGAUUCUUUGUUCAAAAGGCCCUUGUUUUGUGUAAAUAUCUUAACUAUCCAUACUAGAAGUGACACUAAUUGAGUCACAUUGACCCUAACCCAUUAAAAUCUACUCAAUUUGGUCUAUACUAACCCCAUAACAGGUCGAAAUAAACACCUGUUUGCUACCUCAAUCAAUACAAAUCAACAUAUUUCUAUUAGUACUUCCUAUCAACCUGCAUUGAAGGUUAAAAUUUUAGUUUCAUCAUUAAUCAGUCAUUCUUGUGUUGUCAGGGUGCAGAAAUUUAAUGAUAUCUUCUAAUUGUUGUGCUAAUGAAAAUAUCUACUUUUCACUCCUGAACUUUUGCCCUUCUAAAGUAUUGUUUAACUUGUUAGGAUGAGAAUUUACUAUUCAAAACCAAUCACCCUACAAGUUGGCAAAGAAAAGAAAGAAACACGAAGUUGUUCAUAUGUAAUUUCAGAUACUCAAGUAGCAUGUUUGCAUUAGUGAGAUCUUCCAUCCUAUCUAUCGUGAACACAACUUUGAAAAUUUAAGAAACGCAUAGAAGUCAUAUUUUUUAUUAUAGCCAUGCAUUCUACGUUGAGGUGCUACAACUUUGUCGUGAGCAAAAGUUCAUUCUCAAACAUUUAAAUUCACCGAGAAGUUCAUGCUCAUGAAACAAUGAUGUGUUUUUAACUUAAUCUUCUAUUUAAAUAUCUGAAUAAGAGUUCAUUUCCUAUGAUUUCGCUCUCCCUUGAGAUCUUUAUGGCCUUUUUUGUCAGGUGGAUG
rnacentral:lncRNA from 1 species